rnacentral:rRNA from 1 species
AUUGAACGCUGGCGGCAGGCUUAACACAUGCAAGUCGCACGAGUGGCGGACGGGUGAGUAAUGUCUGGGAAACUGCCCGAUGGAGGGGGAUCACUCCUGGAAACGGUAGCUAAUACCGCAUACCAUCGGAUGUGCCCAGAUGGGAUUAGCUAGUAGGUGGGGUAACGGCUCACCUAGGCGACGAUCCCUAGCUGGUCUGAGAGGAUGACCAGCCACACUGGAACUGAGACACGGUCCAGACGCCGACGGGAGGCAGCAGUGGGGAAUAUGGCACAAUGGGCGCAAGCCUGAUGCAGCCAUGCCGGGUGUAUGAAGAAGGCCUUCGGGUUGUAAAGUACUUUCAGCGAGGAGGCGUUACUCGCAGAAGAAGCACCGGCUAACUCCGUGCCAGCAGCCGCGGUAAUUC